rnacentral:rRNA from 1 species
GACGAACGCUGGCGGCGUGCCUAAUACAUGCAAGUCGAGCGAGCUGAAUUCACUGAUCUCUUCGGAGUGACGUGUUGGACGCUAGCGGCGGAUGGGUGAGUAACACGUGGGCAAUCUGCCCUAAAGACUGGGAUACCACUUGGAAACAGGUGCUAAUACCGGAUAACAAUGAUGGUUGCAUGACCAUUAUUUGAAAGGCGGCGCAAGCUGUCACUUUAGGAUGAGCCCGCGGUGCAUUAGCUAGUUGGUGAGGUAACGGCUCACCAAGGCCAUGAUGCAUAGCCGAGUUGAGAGACUGAUCGGCCACAUUGGGACUGAGACACGGCCCAAACUCCUACGGGAGGCAGCAGUAGGGAAUCUUCCACAAUGGACGCAAGUCUGAUGGAGCAACGCCGCGUGAGUGAAGAAGGUUUUCGGAUCGUAAAGCUCUGUUGUUGGUGAAGAAGGAUGUGAGUAGUAACUGGC